GGGAUGGCCUCGCCAUAAGCGUCGUUUUAUACCUUCAAAAAAUGUGAUCACUGUGAUGAUUAUCUUGUAAAACCCUCGUGUGGGCAUGUAUCGUCUCA